GGCGAGUGAAGAGGUAAAAGCCCAAGAUGUUAAUCUGCAUUGAAGAUGUAGAAUUGUAAUCUAUAGAAUUUCUCAGAGGGGGAGGCUUGCCAUAAGUUCUUUGGAACAAGGCACCAUAGAGGGUGAAAGUCCCGUCUUUGGGUGAGCCGAACCGUAUGAGGGGUUUCUAAGAGUCGGGUAGUUUGGGAAUGCUGCCCUAAGCGGGAGAUAAACUUCUCCUAAGGCUAAAUAUAAGAUAGGAGACCGAUAGCAUACAAGUUCUGCGAAGGA
rnacentral:rRNA from 1 species